UAAAUUGAGGUUUACUUUCAAGGUUUAUGGAUUGGCAUUAAUUUAAUCUAAUUUUCCCUAUGUCCACUAAUAAUUAUCAAUAGGGUUUUGGUAAGUUGUUCUUCUAGAUUUGUGUCUUGUUGACAUCUCUUUGAAAUUUUCAGCUUCUUGGUUUUGGGUUUCUUGUUCCUCGUGUCUAUCCCUUCUGUAAUUGCACUGAGAGGAGGAUCACAAUGUGCUAAAGUAUUUACCUUUUCAGUGUUAGAGUAAUCCGUGUACCAAAUUUUAGAAAAGAUAGAUAAUAAAAG
rnacentral:misc_RNA from 1 species